rnacentral:lncRNA from 1 species
CCAUUUGUCAGGAGCAGAUGAAAAAAUGAAGGAAGAAGCUUCACAACUGGACUGGUUGGGAGAAAUGGUUCAAGCAGAUCUACAGCCCUCAAAGAACAGCCCACAUUUAGCAGCAUAAUGAACAGCUGAGCUUGAGCAUGAUUUUAUGUGACUGAGUGAAGCCUCUUUCCAUAUCAAAUCUUUGAGUCUCUUACUCUCUAAAAGAAAAGUUUGCCCCAUAAAACUGGAAGAGAAGAAAUAGGUGAUGUGAACAUGGAUGUGCUGAUCAACACAAGGGAAGCACAAGAAAAGUGCAGACGACAGCACUUUAGUAUCUGCAUUGACCUCCAUGAUGUCAGAAUGUCAUUGUGCAACCGUAGCUAAGAAAAGCCUCCGGAGAAAAAAAAAAAAAAACAAAGGAGCUUUGCGUCUUCCAAUAACAUGAGAUGUGCAUAUACAGUACGUAGCAUUUUGGAAUUCAGACUGUGGUAGUGAGUUGUUGCUUUCAGUUUGAUUAGACAAUCAUUGUUUCGCUUUCCUUGCUCUGACAGUGAGUAUGCUCGUACGCUGCUUAAGUCUUCUUAGUGCUAUCUAGGUCAGUGUACUUAGGAUAGCUUUUAUGUUCUCUAAGUCUGACAAGAUACCGUGCUUGACAGAGAUCAGCACCAAAUUUUCUUUUAUUUAUUAUAUCUGAGGAUAGCAAAAUAUCUUAAAACUGAUCAGAAUUGUAUGCCACAUAGCACCUACCGUUUCUGCAUUGCAGAUAUAUUUAGCUCUAACACUGCUUGUGGUUAACAGGGUGUAGCGUAGACACAGACAGCUGAUCAUGCAGUCAGACCCGGUGCUCGUGUGGUUUGUCAAUACUGCUCAGGAUUUUGAUGGACUGUAAAAGAGAGAAAACAGAAAGGAGAGAAAAAGAAAUGUUUUAUUUGUCUGAACAUUAGACUUUUAGCUCUAUUAUUUCUGCUAUCA